rnacentral:miRNA from 1 species
UAAUGUCACUUUGACAGCAAACC